UGCCAUGCCUAUGCUCCAGAGUGCUGCGGAACUGUCAGCACGUGCAACUGGUGCUGAUGAUGAGAUAUUAGAUUACACAAAUCUUCUGAGAAAUGGAAUCCUGGAGGCUUAUUCCGGCAUAUUUCAGGGAUUCAAGAACUCACCUAAGACUCAGCUGCUGAUACCUUAUGCGCCUCAUAUCCUCCAAUUCCUGGACAGUAUUUA
rnacentral:misc_RNA from 1 species